UGGUGCCUUCUGGGAGGAUGCCGGAAGAACACCAUCCUCCCCCUCCGGGGGAGGAAGACGCUGUUCCGAGAGCGGGAGGCAGAAACACUCCAGUGGGAAGCCCUCCCUUUACCAGACAAAGGACU